rnacentral:rRNA from 1 species
AGGCUUUGAUCCUGGCUCAGGGUGAACGCUGGCGGCGUGCUUAACACAUGCAAGUCGAACGAACCUUCGGGUUAGUGGCGGACGGGUGAGUAACGCGUGAGAAUCUGCCCUCAGGAGGGGGAUAACGGCUGGAAACGGCCGCUAAUACCCCAUAUGCCGAGAGGUGAAACGAAUUUCGCCUGAGGAUGUGCUCGCGUCUGAUUAGCUAGUUGGUGGGGUAAAGGCCUACCAAGGCGACGAUCAGUAGCUGGUCUGAGAGGAUGAUCAGCCACACUGGGACUGAGACACGGCCCAGACUCCUACGGGAGGCAGCAGUGGGGAAUUUUCCGCAAUGGGCGAAAGCCUGACGGAGCAACGCCGCGUGAGGGAUGAAGGCCUCUGGGCUGUAAACCUCUUUUCUCAAGGAAGAAGAUCUGACGGUACUUGAGGAAUAAGCCACGGCUAAUUCCGUGCCAGCAGCCGCGGUAAUACGGGAGUGGCAAGCGUUAUCCGGAAUUAUUGGGCGUAAAGCGUCCGCAGGCGGCUUUGAAAGUCUGUCGUUAAAGCGUGGAGCUUACUCAUUCAGCGAUGGAACUACAGGCUGAGUGUGUAGGGCAGAGAAUCCGGUGUACCGUGAAUCGAAUUCGGAGACACAGUGCAGGCCCGCUGGCAACGCCCAUGACAGCAGGACAAGAA